rnacentral:rRNA from 1 species
GCAUAUCAAUAAGCGGAGGAAAAGAAACCAACAGGGAUUACCUCAGUAACGGCGAGUGAAGCGGUAACAGCUCAAAUUUGAAAUCUGGCCUCACGGUCCGAGUUGUAAUUUGUAGAGGAUGCUUCGAGCAUGGUCUGGCCUAAGUUCCUUGGAACAGGACGUCAUAGAGGGUGAGAAUCCCGUAUGCGGCCAGGUGCCUACGCUCAUGUGAAGCUCCUUCGACGAGUCGAGUUGUUUGGGAAUGCAGCUCAAAAUGGGUGGUAAAUUUCAUCUAAAGCUAAAUAUUGGCCAGAGACCGAUAGCGCACAAGUAGAGUGAUCGAAAGAUGAAAAGCACUUUGGAAAGAGAGUUAAACAGUACGUGAAAUUGUUGAAAGGGAAGCGCUUGCAACCAGACUUGCGCGCGGCCGAUCAUCCGGUGUUCUCACCGGUGCACUCGGCCGUGCUCAGGCCAGCAUCGGUUUUGGCGGCUGGAUAAAGGCCCUAGGAAUGUAGCUCCUCUCGGGGAGUGUUAUAGCCUAGGGUGCAAUGCAGCCUGCUGGGACCGAGGACCGCGCUUCGGCUAGGAUGCUGGCGUAAUGGUUGUAAGCGGCCCGUCUUGAAACACGGACCAAGGAGUCUAACAUCUAUGCGAGUGUUUGGGUGUCAAACCCAUACGCGUAAUGAAAGUGAACGGAGGUGAGAACCCUUAAGGGUGCAUCAUCGACCGGUCCUGAAGUUUACGGAAGGAUCUGAGUAAGAGCAUAGCUGUUGGGACCCGAAAGAUGGUGAACUAUGCCUGAAUAGGGUGAAGCCAGAGGAAACUCUGGUGGAGGCUCGCAGCGGUUCUGACGUGCAAAUCGAUCGUCAAAUUUGGGUAUAGGGGCGAAAGACUAAUCGAACCAUCUAGUAGCUGGUUCCUGCCGA